CCCGCUGACGAGCGGCGGACGGGUGAGUAACGCGUAGGAAUCUACCCAGUAGCGGGGGAUAGCUCGGGGAAACUCGAAUUAAUACCGCAUACGACCUACGGGUGAAAGCAGGGGAUCUUCGGACCUUGCGUUAUUGGAGCGGCCGAUAUCUGAUUAGCUUGUUGGUAGGGUAAAAGCCUACCAAGGCGACGAUCAGUAGCUGGUCUGAGAGGACGAUCAGCCACACUGGAACUGAGACACGGUCCAGACUCC
rnacentral:rRNA from 1 species